rnacentral:rRNA from 1 species
GGGAUUGCCCUAGUACGGCGAGUGAACAGGCAAGAGCUCAGAUUUGAAAGGCACUUUUGUGCCGUUGUAUUCUGAAGUUAGGGUCCUGAGAAACGAUGCUUAAGUCUUCUGGAAAGGAGCGCCAUGGAGGGUGAUAGCCCCGUCUAGCAUUGACCUCAUAUAGGAUCUUAACAUGGAGUCGAGUUGUUUGGGAAUGCAGCUCAAAUGGGUGGUAUGCUCCAUCUAAAGCUAAAUAUCUGCGAGAGACCGAUAGUAAACAAGUACUGUGAGGGAAAGAUGAAAAGAACUUUGAAAAGAGAGUGAAAAAGUACGUGAAAUUGUUGAAAUGGAAGGGUAGGCCGCUAACCAUGUAGAGCCGUGUUUGGGGGGAAGAUAAAUGCUGUAGAAUGUAGCUCCUCGGAGUAUUAUAGAUGCAGUUCAUAUUCCCACCCGAGCGCGAGGAUCUCAGGUUCUACUAAAUGGUGGUCUACCACCCGUCUUGAAACACGGACCA